UACGUAGGGGGCUAGCGUUGUCCGGAAUCAUUGGGCGUAAAGCGCGCGUAGGCGGCCAGAUAAGUCCGGUGUGAAAGUCACAGGCUCAACCUGUGAAUGCCGCUGGAAACUGUCUGGCUUGAGUCCGGAAGAGGAGAGUGGAAUUCCUGGUGUAGCGGUGAAAUGCGCAGAUAUCAGGAAGAACACCUAUGGCGAAGGCAGCUCUCUGGGCCGAUACUGACGCUGAGGAGCGAAAGCGUGGGGAGCGAACAGG
rnacentral:rRNA from 1 species